GUGCUAAAAUAGGAUACUCCUCACCAACAAAGCAUUUCAGCAAGUGGAUUGUGAUGUGAGGCUUCAAGAUGGAUUAGAAUGACUCAAAUCACUUUGGGUCAUGUGAUGACGUGACAACGCUGAUUGGGCGGAGCGUCUGAGAGAUCAAGGUGCAUCCAGCGAUGUCAGCGUUCUAUGCACAGUGCAUGUAAAGCGGCUACAGCAAGUCUGAACAAGUGGCCAGAUCUUCAUGUGUGCGGACGCUACGGUG